AUAACCAAAGAGAGACGGGGGGUAGGGUGGAAUGAGCAGAACACGUGAUGGUGAAAAGCCUGCAGGCUGCUGUUCUGGGAAAGGCAGACAGAGACAUCCCCCCAUAUUGAUGCUGCCGUUUCACCACAACAACAGUUCUGGGAAAUGGCCGCCGUCUGAACUGUAUAGCUGCUAUUUACAUGGCACUGAUUCAGCCCACUUACUGCUUUCAUCAUCAGCACCCGCAGAUGGUCCCACUUUAUCGGCAGACUCACAAUAUCUCAUCGCGUAAAAGGGGAAAGAAAAAGCAUAAAAACUGUGAGUGAAAAUAAGGGAAAUGGGAUAAACACACGGCAUUUUACGGAGUGGAAAGCGGCAGCGGGGCUCAUGGACGAUGAUGGGGGAGAGAGAGCAGUCUGGACCAGAAGCACUGGAGACAUGAGUCAUGGCAAGCAAACUCCCAGGGGGCUUGUUGGUGCAGUCUAUAAAUGGAAAUAGCAGAAAAACAGCAGCUUCCCUCGCCCACCCAGGACUAGGUUAUGGCUUAUUAGAAUCUGAUGGCUUAUGACAGCAGCUGCUUUGUUUAGCCCCAGCCUGAACUUCACCAUCAUUUUUUAUUUAUUUUUUUUGACCAGACAAAUGCCAUGGAAAAAUAAAUGAAUAUAUACUGUAUAUAAAAAGUAACCGGCCUAGUGCAAGAAAAUCAUUCUGGCAUGCGAGAAUGUGUUACUGAAAACAGUUUUUUGCUUUAUUAAAGUAACAGUCUUGUUUUUUUCACCUUCACACAAAGUGCAGCCUGUAUCUGUUAAAAAGAAGUUGAUGACUGACAUGAACCAGUUAACUUGGCUCCUUGGUUUCCCCUUGGCUACCCUGCUGUGGAGCUGGCCUAUAUCAAACAUUGCCAGAUAUCUGGGACAACCUCUGGAAAAAAAAGGCAUAAUGUCUCAUAAAUUGACCAAAAGGGAGACAUUAACUUGAAAAAUACACAGUAUGUGUUCUUAAAUCUUUAAGAAUGUAUGAAGUGAGGAAAAGAUUACUACCUUUACACUUAUUACACACUUGGAUACUGCUUUUAACAUGAAGUUGAAACAUAAAACAUUUGAUAAGCUACAGGUUCUGAAUACUUCUACAAUAUUAAACCCAAGGGCACAAAACAAAUGUUACAUGGAGUAUGUGUUAAGCUGGAUCCAUAUGUACACAACACGUCAACGCUUGACAGUGGGCGGGUCUGACGCUUGGUGCUGGAGGUAGCUAACAGAGUCCCUGAGGCGAUGGUGAUGUGAUGGACAAAAAAAUCAUUGUGUCACAACUGUGUCCGAGCGCUCAGAGCUUUUAGCCGUUUGAGCUAAAGGCAUAUGCAAGCCAACAAGGAAACUUGACAUUGCUCCAUUUGAAGUGAAUGAGAAACUUUUAAGUUGACGCCUCCACGUGAAUCAGCCAUUAAUGAGAAAGUGGUUAUACCCGUUUACCUGGCAUGUCCUUGUCUCUCUGCACUAAUGAUUGUCAUGAUUUCGUCAGCAGCAAUGUCACAGCAACCUGGAGCUUUGUGGUUGUUGGGAGUGAGCCAGUGGCUCCAUACCACCUGCUCCACCUCCCUCCCUCCCGCCCUCCCCGCCUCAAAGCACUCUGCUUCACCUGCUUCCACGGUAAGCAGACACACCCUGUCCUCCGUUCCUCCCUCGUAGCCUGCAGCUAAAGCGGAGCUAGUCUGCACAGGAGCACAGAUGCAGACAGAGCUCCAGCAUGGCCGUCAUACCAGAGGAGGGAGGGAUCUCCGUGACUGUGGGCCUUUUGUUUAGCUGCCACCACUAACAACCCGCCAGGUCGUGUUUGCUCUUCUUUUUUGUUUCACCUGUCGUCACACUGAUCUCUUUCAUCUGUGGGGUGUAUCCCAGAGAUCCUCCCUCAUGGCAGGGAAAACAUUAUCUCAUUGGAGUAAAAGCCAGAGGUAAAGUGACUGAGGUAGUUUUUUAAGGGUUUUUAAUUGUUUAAGAGCGGGAAACACAGAAACGGUUCUGCUUUUUUUCUGUGUGUGGGAGGCGUCGUAAAGUUUACAGGUUGGAUCAUGAUGAAUAGAAGGACAAUGCAGAUGAGGGGCCGUGGUGCCAACCUGAAGGCUGUCCCCAUGGUUAUUGUUGGUGUUGUUGUUUUGGUCAUAUUACUGCAAAUUUAUCUGGAGAUGAUGGUGACGCUUCUGUGAUGAGAUGGCUCUGCUGUGUGAUCAGUGGCUCAUGUAACUUUUAAAAUGAAUAAAUGUCUUGGUCUACUCAG